UAUUUACGCAGCACUCGCCCGGGGAGUGACGUGGAAGCUCUGCCGUACUCUGAGCGCAGAACCUCGGGUGGAGACCACGGACCGACUCCUCAAUUGUAGACACACUGGGACCUUAAGAAUGAGCCAGAAAAAAAGCAUUGAGGCUCUGUCCCACACAACGCACAGGAGCCAUUGAAUGGUGCCCCACCCUGCGGCUGCGCACGCCUCCCAUGCAGGGCCGGUCCGUCACAAUGUUUCUGAUCCUGUCUGAGCCAUCAAUAAUAUGAGCUGAGACAUAAACCACAGCGGCCAGGGCAUGAGCAGAGACUUGGUGGCCCGCCAUUGCAGACUGGAGUGGGCAGGCGUGCGGCUUUGGCCGCAGGAAGCUGUGAAUUCUUCGGAGAAUGGAAGAUGUCUUACAGGGAGACAUACGAGGCCCGCCCACGCCCAUUCGUUACCCCAAAAUGACCCCUGACCCAUCCGUAUGUUUAUAUCAGAGCAUGGAAGUGAGAAAUAGUGAUGAGUCACUCCGGCCGUGUGUUUACACUCCAGAGUCACGCAAGGAAGGAAAUCAGCCACGGUCUGCUACAAGUGGCGAGCUGGAAGAGAGAAUAGCUGCGGCUCCCUCAGCGCCACUGAAGUGCGCCUCGAUCGAGCCGAGCCGGAUUUGAGCGGAUUUACUUCACCUGAGCACUGCUGUAAACUCUGUAAGCCCGCGGAAAACUGCAAACUGAGCAGUACAAAUCAAUCAUAUUCAAUCCUCUCUUUUGCUUUCACCUCAAGGACACUGCAUGGCAAAAUAUUGUCUCCUAUUUCCAAAUUAUACACUGUGGUGCCUUGAAAUACGAGUGACCAGACUUAAAGGCUGUGGCGGUACGAGCCGUCGGUCAGAGGAUUUUUCAUUUGACUUGUGAGCAAAUAUUUGAGAUGAUUAUAGAACAAUGCCCACGGGCACAUAUUCUUUAUCCUCUGUGAAGUAUAAGCAAUAUUACUGCAGCUUACUGAGGAGCUGUGACUGUCUCAUGUAUAUCCCUAUUUCUGUAAUAUACUGCCCCUGGUGUCCAUGAUACAUACACCAGAAGGAGCAGCACAAUGUUCAUUGAAGCAAAAAGUGUGGCAAAAAUUAAUUACUUAUUCUAUUCUAUUUAAUUAUCUCAUUGCUGUAUUAUUUAUAUAAUAAAGUACAAUGUUAUAGUGUGCUAUAUUCCUGAUUUAAAAAAACCUGGGUGGGGAGACACUAAAACGGAUUAAUGACACUUCACAUUCAUGAGGAAAGAUAAUUGAAGAUGGUGGUGUUUUGUGUCACGAGCAAUGAUCAUGGAACAAAUUAAACACAUUUCUCAAGGCACCACUGUAUAUACAGUAUUUUUGUAUCAUACCCAGUUGUGUUUUUAUUGUGGAACCUCCAAAGUCAACAACCAUCUGUUCCAGGAAGCUGGUCAACUUUCAGUUCCAAUUCUUCUAAUUUUAUCUCCGUAAAUUUUCCCACAGGUUUGAGUUAUAAUUGAAAAUAUAAUCUGCUCCAAACCAUAUGAAUUCUACAAUUGUCUGUCCAACACAAUAUGUCUAUGUAGGUCAACACAUCUGCAAAGCAUUUCCUCAUUAUGUCAUACAUUUGCAUGACAACUUGUUGCCAGGCAGAAUUUGUGGAGCACUCACCCCAGCCACUUACAGUACAAAAUUAUAGUUUUGCUGCUGUCCAAUGAAAAGCAUGUGUUUCCAAAUGUUAAGUUUCUUUUUAUCUAAAAAUCAUUUUUGUUAUUGUUCUUUAAAAAGUAACUCGUAUUGCUCUUUGCCAAAUCUCCUCUCCAUUUAAAAAAAAAAAUGUCUCAUUCAUAAAUUCAUUAAAAUUGUCCCUCUUG